AGACUCGAGCAAUUUUCUCACUUCAGCCUCCUGAGUUGCUGGGACCACAGGUGCACGCACCACCCCCUGGCUUUUAUUUUUUAUUUUUUUUAUUUUUUGGCAGAGACAGUGUCGCCUUAUGUUGCCCAGGCUGAACACCUGUGUCUCUUAACCUAAGAGCUGUCUCCAGCACAGGAUGCAAGACAGCCCCAAAAAAGUGUUAGGGACUUAAAGCCACCAGAAGCUAUUCUUAACCAAUGGAAUACAGGAGUCAAUGGGAACAUCCUGUCCAGAGGAAAGGAUAUUUAAGGAGAAAGGAAGCAGCACAAGUUCGACUCAGCCAAGAAACAGAGGAAGGACAUCCCAAGCACGAAGUGGGGCACCGGUCUGUGUUCCAGCGAGAGAUAAAAGGGAGAGACACAACUGGCUCCAGCCCUUUUCCUGCCUCUUCCUGCUUUGAAUACUCACAUGAUACCUGGAGCUGCAGCAGCCAUCUUGUUUACCAAGAAGAAAAGCCAAGAUGAUCACAGAAUAGCCAGCACUGGUAUUGUUCCACCAGCGACAGCAGAUACUUACCUCCAGAUUUUUGGGGAAAAAAAAUGAGCUGGAGUGACUCUCUUGGUCCCUAAGGUGGAAGCCAUGUGUUGAGGACACUGAGCAACAAGAUAGGAGGAGCCUGGGGCCCAGCCAGAGAACAGGAAGCCACCCAAAUAGCUCUCAACCCCUUAUAGAUGGACUACUAAAUGGGAAAUAAAGUAGACUGUUCUCUC
rnacentral:lncRNA from 1 species